rnacentral:rRNA from 1 species
AACGAACGCUGGCGGCGCGUCUUAACCAUGCAAGUCGAGCGGCAGGCAGCAAUGCCGAGAGCGGCGGACUGGUGAGUAACACGUGGAUAACGUACCCCGAUGUCCGGGACAGCCUGUAGAAAUAGAGGGUAAUGCCGGAUAGAUCACUGUUUACGUGAGGUAGACAGCGGGAAAGGAGCUUCGGCUCCGCGACGGGAUCGGUCUGCGGCCCAUCAGCUGGACGGCGGGGUAAAGGCCCGCCGUGGCGAGGACGGGUAUCCGGCCUGAGAGGGCGGACGGACACAUUGGGACUGAGAUACGGCCCAGACUCCUACGGGAGGCAGCAGGUAAGAAUAUUCCGCAAUGGGGGGAACCCUGACGGAGCGACGCCGCGUGAACGAAGAAGGCCGGAAGGUUGUAAAGUUCUUUUCUGUCCGAGGAAUAAGUUUCGGAGGAAAUGCCGGGACGGUGACGGUAGGGCAGGAAUAAGCACCGGCUAAUUACGUG